rnacentral:tRNA from 1 species
GCAUUAGUAGCUCAACGCAGAGCGCCGGUCU